ensembl:snoRNA SNORD42 Small nucleolar RNA SNORD42
GUGCAUAUGAUGGAAAAAUUUUAAACACCUGAGACGUGAUGUCUUCAAAGGAACCGCUGAUGCAC